rnacentral:sRNA from 1 species
AACUUUAUAAGAAUUUAUAAGAAGUUUAAACAUUAUAAAUAUUUAAAAUAUUUAAAGUAUUCAUAAUAUUUACAUUCUAUAAAAAGUUUAUAAUAAUAAUAUUUAAACUCUAUAACAAUUAAAAAUAAAUUUUAUGAAACUUUUUUGGUUCCUUUGUGAAAAAUGCAACCGGUCAAAACAGAAAAGAUACGACUGUAGUUGAACAAAUAUAACUGUCCAAAAAACCCGUAAAUAACGAAAAUAUACGACAAAAAAACACUACCGUAAAACAAUGACCGUAAAUAAUUGAGCGAAAGUUGCGAUAAAAAACGUAACCGUUGAGAAGUUCAAAAGAUACUUGAGAUUGUUUUGUUAUUAGAUUCCAAAAAAUUUUAGUUAGACUAAGAAUUAGAGAAAUUUCUUUCAUAUUAAAAUGAUGUAUAUUUAAAAUAACUUCGAAAGUAAAGAAUUUAGAUCCAUUUUACAAAAAAAAAAAUUUGGAUUCAUCAUAAAUAAUCGGUGUGAAGGAACAAAAAUAUGAGAACUAUUUAGGAAGAAGGACAAAUAUAUAGAGUUCAAAACUCACGAACAUUUAAAUAAACUACUUUAUUCAUACGAAAAGUUGUGAAAAAAGCAGAAAAUAUAUAAUAAAGAGACGUUACUUUAAAUGAAUAGAUGCAACUAUAAAGAAACAACCGCAAACUAAAAAAAUUAUAAUUGUAGUUGAACAAAUAUAACUCAAUGAUAAAAAGAUAAACCGUAAACUGAAAAGAUAUGACUGUAUUUAAAUUAAUAUAACUGUCAGAAAAAAAUAAUCGUAUAUAAUUUAAUGUAAAGAUGCGAUAAAAAUAUACAACUCUAAAUACUUGAAAGAAAUAUUGUGAUAAAAAAAGGCAGCUAUUCAGAAUUUGAGAUGCAAAAUGAUACGAACUUAGUUGAACAAAAUAACUGUUCAAAACAUAACAAUAAAUAUUAUAAAAAGAUACAACCACAAAAAUAUAACUGAAAAUAUUUUAAU